CAUAACGAGUGAUAGUAAUGAAGAAAUAAACAAUAAAAUAAAUUCGUUAUUUUUACUUCUUGUCUCAUUGUUUAUAGAGAUACUAUCAAUAACUCUCAGGAUUAGUUUCCUUAUUUAUUUUUCGAAUAACGUAAAUGAAAAACAGAUGCUGCGUCACCAGUCUAAGUGAUUAAAUAAUCAGAAAAUCAUAUAAAUACCCCCAGUUUCUUAUGCUUGGCAGAAUAUUGAUUCAAAUUUAUCAUUCGUCGGUCAACAAAAAACUUAAAAUGUCGAAAAUAGUUUUACUAUUAUCUAUUUUUGUAUUAUUUGGCAUUUUUGCCAGUGCAUCUGCCGGGUGUGACGGCCAGUGGUGUCAUCCUUCGCAAGGUUAUGGCUGUUGUCCCUUCUAUGGAUGUAGUUCAUACUUUAGCCAAGGUAAAUGUGUACCUAAUGGAGAAAUUCGAUACGGCUAGAGUAAAUGAUUUCAACAAAUGGCAGCAGAUUUAUAACGACAAUGUUCCACUAUAAAUUUCGUAGUACAAAUUUAUAUUAUUAUAUGAAUCUGUAAACAUAUCUGUACAUUUGUUUUAUUAAUAAAAUUUUUCGUGGAAAAUUCA